UCAAAUAAAUGCCUUUCAAACUGUGGCACACUGUUAUUUUUGGAUCCCAUCCUUCUUUGUGUGUUAAGAAGGAAAUAAUAAUAAUCAUAACUGACAUUAUUGAGCACUUACUAUGUGCCAAGCACUGUGGUAAGUUGUUAUUUACAUAAUCUCAUUUCAUUCUUCACGAUCUCUGAGCUAGGUGCUUGUGUUGCCACCAUUUUGUAGAUGAUGACAUGACAGUUUAGAAAGGCAAAGUAACUUGAGCAAGUAAGUGGCAAAGCUGGGAUUUGAACCCUAAGCUUCCAAAGUCUUGCUCAUAACGUCUAUGCCACAAAUAUGCCAUCUCUAAAUACUUCCCUUAAAAGUAUGUUUUCUGGUUUUUAUUUAUGAUUUUGGUGACUGCUCCUUAAUAAUCGUUCUACUAUUAUCUUAAUCUUUACCAUUUUCUGCAAUCAAGUGAUAGGAUUCCUUGGAAGCUGGAAGUGUGUUCUUCCUCACCUUUGUAUCCCCUGCAGCUCUUAAAGCAAAGUAUCUUGCACAGAAUAGGAGCUAAAUAAUUAUGUGUUGAAAUGCACUUUACAUUAUCUCUGUAUCUAAAUAAAACCCAUCUAAACGAGUCCACUUCCCAAACAUUGGGAUUUUCCUCCUCUUUGUAGCGAUCCCUUUCUUCUUGUUUUGCUUUCGAAAGGUUGAUUUUGAACUGGAGGGACAUUGCAGUUGUCUUGUCACUUAGCGGGAUUUGAAAGUGAGAGUCUGUGUAGUGUUUUAGCCUGCCCUCAGCAAUCAGGCCUCACACUCGCGAGGCUCUGAUUGUAGGAGUUGCCUUAUUUGCAUUGAUGAGGAUGAGCCAGCUGCUAGAGCAUACAGAACUGCACCUGACACAAUCACGGAGUUCAGGAUUAGCACGGGGAAUCAGGAAUCCACUGGGCUGGCUGCGUGGCAAUCUCAGCCCUACAUUAGAGUCACUCAUGCAAAAUGACCCAAAUUUGCAAUGAGCACAAUUAGCAAUCCAAAGAUGCAUGUUAAUUUGGGGGCCUGAUAUUUUCUUACAUUUCCCUAAAUUAAAAAUAAUAAAUACAUUCUUUCCUAGACAAGUCUGGACAUGAAAACAAUUCAGGGGAUUAUGAGUUUGUAAAAAAUGUGCAAACCCCAGAAAAUGUGGUUUCUUUGGGUAACCAGCCACUGCCCACCCCCAUCCCAAAAGUAUUAAGUGUGGCAUCAAAUAGGGUAAGAGCUUUGUGGUAUCAUGCCCCUUUUUCAAUCAGUGGAAAACAACUAUUUACAAGGAUAAAAAUAAUUAUAGCUAUAACAGGCAGAAAAGAAAAAUUUAAGCAUAAAAAAGGUUUUGAUAUUUUAUAUUAUGUAUUCAUAUUUCUGAGACUAUGUUUGGAUCACAUAUAACCACAGAUAUACUCAACUAUUUCUGAAUUUACUAAAAGUACAAGAGAUUGUGUUGAAUUUUUAUUAAACAGAGUUUAUAAAUCAAAUUGAACAUUCUCCAACUCUGGGCUGUGUUUCCAUAUGUUUGCAAUCUAUAGGUAUUGAAAUGCUCACCUAUACUUUAGGAAAAAAAAAAACCCCACAACAUUUUGCAAAGAUUGAAUAAAUGAUCAUUCGAAGCAAAAGCAUGCAGUUCAAAAGCUAAACCUCCCAUUGGAGAACAGAAAAUUUAAUGAGCUUUUAAUGGAAUGCAAUGCUCAGAGUAGUAAAUUAUUUGUUAGUUGACGAUGCAAUCAGCAUGCUGAUUAAGGUUGCUUGGUUUUUUACUAAACAUUAACUGAAUGAAAACGGGUAGUCCUUGUUCUGCUUGGGGGGCUUUAAGGAAGCAAAUGGACUUUCAGAACAGAGAUUGUCAAUAAAGGAAUACCCAGCUUGGGUUCUGGAUAUGUCCUCUGAGAAGGUGCCCAUGUCACUGACUACACUGGAGGCCAAUGCAGAUACUAGAGGAAGGUUCCAUGGUAGUUAAGUGUGGACAAGCUAAUCACUGAAGUUCCCUGAUGUAGAGCUGAUAAUCUCUGGAGUUGGAUGGAAGACUGUGCUGCCUUGAAGCUCUGAGAGAUGCCAUGCCAAUUCAAGGCAAGGUCUUUAUUGUUGAAAUUCUUGCAUAAUGACAUCUUUAUUCAGGUGAAAAUACAGGAUGAAUUUCAACUGUAUGAUACUGUUUAUGUUCAUCAGACACAUUAUUUGUCUUUACAAAGACUGGUUUCAAUAAACUGGCUGUGUAACCGAUAUUAAAUAAACAUGGAAUUUUACACAUUCAUAA